rnacentral:rRNA from 1 species
UAGUCCACGCUGUAAACGAUGAUUACUAGAUGUUCGGACUUCGGUCUGAGUGUCCAAGCGAAAGCGAUAAGUAAUCCACCUGGGGAGUACGUUCGCAAGAAUGAAACUCAAAGGAAUUGACGGGGGCCCGCACAAGCGGUGGAGCAUGUGGUUUAAUUCGAUGAUACGCGAGGAACCUUACCUGGGCUACAAUGCCUCUGCUACACCCUGAAAGGGGUGGUUCCUUCGGGACAGAGUGCAAGGUGCUGCAUGGUUGUCGUCAGCUCGUGCCGUGAGGUGUUGGGUUAAGUCCCGCAACGAGCGCAACCCACGUCGUUAGUUAUAAGUGUCUAACGAGACUGCCCGCGUUAAGCGGGAGGAAGGUGUGGAUGAUGUCAAGUCAGCAUGGCCCUUAUGCCCAGGGCUACACACACGCUACAAUGGCUGGAUACAAUGGGUCGCAAAGCCGCGAGGUGGAGCCAAUCCUGCAAAGUCAGUCACAGUUCGGA